rnacentral:misc_RNA from 1 species
AAUGAAACGAAAGAGAAGAUGUUACCUUUGCUUACUUUAACCUAAUACCUGGCUGACAUGAAAUUUGUAUACCCUACCUCAUCAUUACUCAAUUCUAAAUUUGUUUUAUCAUACCUCAAUCAUGAUGUUUCACUGGUUUAUCGACUUUUUCCCGUAAUAUUUUCCACAUAUCUGUUCGUUGACAGAAAAUUCAUACAUUCGUUUCGUGAAAAACGUAUAAUCCUCGUUCUGUAUUUUGCAUACGGAUAUUGGCACUAUGCU